CCAAUAGCGUAUAUUAAAGUUGUUGCAGUUAAAAAGCUCGUAGUUGAAUUUCGGGAUCAAUAUGCCGGUCAUGCCUUGGUAUGCACUGGUAUCUUUGAUUUCUCCCUUCUGACGAACUUUGAUGUCAUUAAUUUGGUGUCAUAGGGAAUCAGGACUGUUACUUUGAAAAAAUUAGAGUGUUUAAAGCAGGCUCACGCUUGAAUACAUUAGCAUGGAAUAAUGAAAUAGGACGUUUGAUUCUAUUUUGUUGGUUUCUAGGAUCGACGUAAUGAUUAAUAGGGAUAGUUGGGGGCAUUAGUAUUCAAUUGUCAGAGGUGAAAUUCUUGGAUUUAUUGAAGACUAACUACUGCGAAAGCAUUUGCCAAGGAUGUUUUCAUUAAUCAAGAACGAAAGUUAGGGGAUCGAAGACGAUCAGAUACCGUCGUAGUCUUAACCAUAAACUAUGCCGACUAGGGAUCGGAUGAUGUUAAUUUUUUAAUGACUCAUUCGGCGCCUUACG
rnacentral:rRNA from 1 species